rnacentral:rRNA from 1 species
CAGCCGCCGCGGUAAUACGUAGGUGGCGAGCGUUGUCCGGAAUUAUUGGGCGUAAAGGGCUCGCAGGCGGUUUCUUAAGUCUGAUGUGAAAGCCCCGGGCUCAACCGGGGAGGGUCAUUGGAAACUGGGAAACUUGAGUGCAGAAGAGGAGAGUGGAAUUCCACGUGUAGCGGUGAAAUGCGUAGAGAUGUGGAGGAACACCAGUGGCGAAGGCGACUCUCUGGUCUGUAACUGACGCUGAGGAGCGAAAGCGUGGGGAGCGAACAGGAUUAGAUACCCCUGUAGUCCCUGUCUCUUAUAC